AUUGAACGCUGGCGGCAGGCUUAACACAUGCAAGUCGAACGAGUGGCGGACGGGUGAGUAAUGCUUGGGAAUCUAGCUUAUGGAGGGGGAUAAAUACGGGAAACUGUAGCUAAUACCGCGUACCAUAGUCGGAGCCCAAGUGGGAUUAGGUAGUUGGGGAGGUAAAGGCUCACCAAGCCGACGAUCUCUAGCUGGUCUGAGAGGAUGACCAGCCACACGGGGACUGAGACCCGGCCCAGACCCCUACGGUAGGCAGCAGUGGGGAAUAUUGCGCAAUGGGGGCAACCUGACGCAGCCAUGCCGCGUGAAUGAAGAAGGCCUUCGGGUUGUAAAGUUCUUUCGGUAGCGAGGCGUUAACUAAAUAGGAAGCACCGGCUAACUCCGUGCCAGAAGCCGCGGUAAGUC
rnacentral:rRNA from 1 species